AUUGAACGCUGGCGGCAUGCCUUACACAUGCAAGUCGAACGGCAGCAUGGAGAGCUUGCUCUCUGAUGGCGAGUGGCGAACGGGUGAGUAAAGCAUCGGAACGUACCGUGUAGUGGGGGAUAACGUAGCGAAAGUUACGCUAAUACCGCAUACGCACUGAGGUGGAAAGCAGGGGAUCGUAAGACCUUGCGCUAGACGAGAGGCCGAUGUCAGAUUAGCUAGUUGGUAGGGUAAAGGCCAACCAAGGCGACGAUCUGGGGCGGGUCUGAGAGGAUGAUCCGCCACACUGGGACUGAGACACGGCCCAGACUCCUACGGGAGGCAGCAGUGGGGAAUUUUGGACAAUGGGGGCAACCCUGACCCAGCCAUGCCGCGUGAGUGAAGAAGGCCUUCGGGUUGUAAAGCUCUUUCGGCCGGGAAGAAAUCGCACAGGCUAAUACCCUGUGUGGAUGACGGUACCGGCAUAAGAAGCACCGGCUAACUACGUGCCAGCAGCCGCCGUAA
rnacentral:rRNA from 1 species